UAAGACAAGAACAUGACCAUAUGACCAUAACCAUGGCAGCAGAGGAAGAACACUGUGCAUACUACUCUCGCGAUACACAGAUGAGUUCCUUGGACAGAGC